rnacentral:lncRNA from 1 species
AUGGACACUGGGAUGGACCCUGGACAUGGGGAUGGACACCGGGAUGGACACCGGGAUGGACACUGGACACGGGGAUGGACACUGGGAUGGACCCUGGACACGGGGGUGGACACCGGGAUGGACACUGGGAUGGACACUGGACACUGGGAUGGACACUGGGAUGGACCCUGGACACGGGGAUGGACACCGGGAUGGACACUGGACACUGGGAUGGACACUGGACACGGGGAUGGCCACCGGGAUGGCCACCGGGAUGGACACUGGACACUGAGAUGGACACUGGGAUGGACACUGGACACGGGGAUGGACACUGGAAACUGGGAUGAACACCGGGAUGGACACUGGACACGGGGAUGGACACUGGGAUGGACACUGGACACAGGGAUGGACACCAGGAUGGACACCAAGAUGGACACUGGACAUCAGGAUGGACACCGGGAUGGACCCAGGGAUGGGCACCGGACACUGGGAUGGACACCAGGAUGGACACUGGACCCAGGGAUGGACACUGGGAUCGACACUGGAAUGGACACUGGACACCUGGAUGGACACCAGGAUGGACAGUGGGAUGGAUGGAUGGACACUGGGAUGGACCUUGGACACGGGGAUGGACACCGGACACCGGGAUGGACACCGGACACCGGGAUGGACACAGGGAUGGACCCUGGACACCAGGAUGAACACUGGGAUGGACACCAGGAUGGACACCGGAAUGGACCCAGGGAUGGACCCAGGGAUGGACCCUGGACACGGGGAUGGACACCGGGAUGGACACCGGGAUGGACACCGGGACGGACACCGGGACGGACACCGGGACACUGGACACCAGGAUGGACACCAGGAUGGACACCAGGAUGGACACCAGGAUGGAGCAGCCCACAGCACCCUCAGGAUCACACCUGGCUGGGGCUGGAGCCCUCCUGGGAGGAAGCACCAGGUGUCACAGAGCUCCAGAGACUCCCAGCCUCACCCAUCCCACCUCCAAGGAUUCCCAAGCCACGGAUCCCCCCACAAACCACCCCAGCCAUCGCUCUGCAGGAUCCACACGGAUUUCCUGCUGCCCAAACUCUCUGUCUAAUUCAUCAACACAGAGAAAAGAAGUCCAGAAAUAUCCCCCCCUCAACCUCCAGGCUUUUCUCUGGGAUCUGGGAUACAUGCCAGCCCACUGCUGAGCAACUGGAACACCCCCCAGCUCAGGGAGCAUGCAGAGGAGGGAGAUGA